rnacentral:sRNA from 20 species
CCCGCCAAGCCUCUCGACAAUACUCAAAUGUGCGGGU